rnacentral:rRNA from 1 species
CAGUAGCGGCGAGCGAACGGGGAGCAGCCCAGAGCCUGAAUCAGUGUGUGUGUUAGUGGAAGCGUCUGGAAAGGCGCGCGAUACAGGGUGACAGCCCCGUACACAAAAAUGCACAUGCUGUGAGCUCGAUGAGUAGGGCGGGACACGUGGUAUCCUGUCUGAAUAUGGGGGGACCAUCCUCCAAGGCUAAAUACUCCUGACUGACCGAUAGUGAACCAGUACCGUGAGGGAAAGGCGAAAAGAACCCCGGCGAGGGGAGUGAAAAAGAACCUGAAACCGUGUACGUACAAGCAGUGGGAGCCUCUUUUAUGGGGUGACUGCGUACCUUUUGUAUAAUGGGUCAGCGACUUAUAUUCUGUAGCAAGGUUAACCGAAUAGGGGAGCCGAAGGGAAACCGAGUCUUAACUGGGCGUUAAGUUGCAGGGUAUAGACCCGAAACCCGGUGAUCUAGCCAUGGGCAGGUUGAAGGUUGGGUAACACUAACUGGAGGACCGAACCGACUAAUGUUGAAAAAUUAGCGGAUGACUUGUGGCUGGGGGUGAAAGGCCAAUCAAACCGGGAGAUAGCUGGUUCUCCCCGAAAGCUAUUUAGGUAGCGCCUCGUGAAUUCAUCUCCGGGGGUAGAGCACUGUUUCGGCAAGGGGGUCAUCCCGACUUACCAACCCGAUGCAAACUGCGAAUACCGGAGAAUGUUAUCACGGGAGACACACGGCGGGUGCUAACGUCCGUCGUGAAGAGGGAAACAACCCAGACCGCCAGCUAAGGUCCCAAAGUCAUGGUUAAGUGGGAAACGAUGUGGGAAGGCCCAGACAGCCAGGAUGUUGGCUUAGAAGCAGCCAUCAUUUAAAGAAAGCGUAAUAGCUCACUGGUCGAGUCGGCCUGCGCGGAAGAUGUAACGGGGCUAAACCAUGCACCGAAGCUGCGGCAGCGACGCUUAUGCGUUGUUGGGUAGGGGAGCGUUCUGUAAGCCUGUGAAGGUGUGCUGUGAGGCAUGCUGGAGGUAUCAGAAGUGCGAAUGCUGACAUAAGUAACGAUAAAGCGGGUGAAAAGCCCGCUCGCCGGAAGACCAAGGGUUCCUGUCCAACGUUAAUCGGGGCAGGGUGAGUCGACCCCUAAGGCGAGGCCGAAAGGCGUAGUCGAUGGGAAACAGGUUAAUAUUCCUGUACUUGGUGUUACUGCGAAGGGGGGACGGAGAAGGCUAUGUUGGCCGGGCGACGGUUGUCCCGGUUUAAGCGUGUAGGCUGGUUUUCCAGGCAAAUCCGGAAAAUCAAG